UCCCGAUUGGCUCGGGCAGUCUUGUUUGAAAAAUACAACAAACAACAAGGGUUGCGCUCGUUGCGGGACUUAACCCAACAUCUCACGACACGAGCUGACGACGGCCAUGCAACACCUGUCACUGGGUUCCCGAAGGCACAGCCCUGUUUCUAGGGCCUUCCCAGGAUGUCAAGGCCAGGUAAGGUUCUUCGCGUAGCAUCGAAUUAAACCACAUGCUCCACUGCUUGUGCGGGUCCCCGUCAAUUCCUUUGAGUUUUAGCCUUGCGGCCGUACUCCCCAGGCGGGAUGCUUAACGCGUUAGCUUCGCAACGCAAAGGGUCGAUACUUCACACUACUAGCAUCCAUCGUUUACGGCGUGGACUAC
rnacentral:misc_RNA from 1 species